CUAGCCGGUAUAAAGGGAGCUUGCUCCUGGAUUCAGCGGCGGACGGGUGAGUAAUGCCUAGGAAUCUGCCUGGUAGUGGGGGAUAACGUCCGGAAACGGGCGCUAAUACCGCAUACGUCCUGAGGGAGAAAGUGGGGGAUCUUCGGACCUCACGCUAUCAGAUGAGCCUAGGUCGGAUUAGCUAGUUGGUGGGGUAAAGGCCUACCAAGGCGACGAUCCGUAACUGGUCUGAGAGGAUGAUCAGUCACACUGGAACUGAGACACGGUCCAGACUCCUACGGGAGGCAGCAGUGGGGAAUAUUGGACAAUGGGCGAAAGCCUGAUCCAGCCAUGCCGCGUGUGUGAAGAAGGUCUUCGGAUUGUAAAGCACUUUAAGUUGGGAGGAAGGGCAGUAAGUUAAUACCUUGCUGUUUUGACGUUACCAACAAGAAUAAGCACCGGCUAACUUCGUGCCAGCAGCCGCGGUAAUACGAAGGGUGCAAGCGUUAAUCGGAAUUACUGGGCGUAAAGCGCGCGUAGGUGGUUUCAGCAAGUUUGGAUGUGAAAUCCCCGGGCUCAACCUGGAACUGCAUCCAAAACUACUGAGCUUAGAGUACGGUGAGGGUGGUGGAUUCCUGUGUAGCGGUGAAAUG
rnacentral:rRNA from 1 species